UGGGGAAUCUUGCGCAAUGGGCGAAAGCCUGACGCAGCAACGCCGCGUGCGGGAAGAAGGCCUUAGGGUUGUAAACCGCUUUCAGUAGGAACGAAAAUGACGGUACCUGCAGAAGAAGGUGCGGCCAACUACGUGCCAGCAGCCGCGGUGACACGUAGGCACCAAGCGUUGUCCGGAUUUAUUGGGCGUAAAGAGCUCGUAGGCGGUUGAGUAAGUCGGGUGUGAAAACUCUGGGCUUAACCCAGAGCCGCCACCCGAUACUGCUCUGACUUGAGUUCGGUAGGGGAGCAGGGAAUUCCUAGUGUAGCGGUGAAAUGCGCAGAUAUUAGGAGGAACACCGGUGGCGAAGGCGCUGCUCUGGGCCGAUACUGACGCUGAGGAGCGAAAGCGUGGGUAGCAAACAGGAUUAGAUACCCUGGUAGUCCACGCCGUAAACGUUGGGCACUAGGUGUGGGUCUCAACCAACGAGAUCCGCGCCGUCGCUAACGCAUUAAGUGCCCCGCCUGGGGAGUACGGCGGCAACGCUAA
rnacentral:rRNA from 1 species